rnacentral:tRNA from 1 species
GGUCAAAUAUUCAAGCAUGAUAUUAAAUUGCAAAUUUAAAGGUGAAAAUUUUCUUUGGCCU